rnacentral:rRNA from 1 species
CAGCAGCCACGGUAAUACGAAGGGGGCUAGCGUUGUUCGGAAUUACUGGGCGUAAAGCGCACGCAGGCGGCUCGAUAAAUUAGAAGUGAAAGCCUUGGGCUUAACCUGAGAAUUGCUUUUAAGACUGUCGAGCUAGAAUCCAGAAGAGGGUAGUGGAAUUCCGAGUGUAGAGGUGAAAUUCGUAGAUAUUGGGAAGAACACCGGUGGCGAAGGCGGCAACCUGGUCCUUGACUGACGCUGAGGCGCGAAAGCGUGGGGAGCAAACAGGAUUAGAUACCCCGGUAGUCCCUGUCUCUUAUAC